UCUGAGUAUUUCAGAAACUGCUGAUCUGCUGGGAUUUUCUUGCUCAACCAUCUGUACGGUUUACAGUGAAUGGUCCAAAAACAGGAGGUCCCUGAGCUUCACUCCUCUGGGUGAAAACGCCUUGUUGAUGUCAGAGGUCAGAGAAGAAAGGUCGGAUUGCUUUAGGAAGCAGUCUAAAGGAAACUGAAGCGACAGUUCACAUGCACUCACUAAAAUUGAAGAACAGAAAACUGCAAAUAGGGAAUUUGAUGUAAACCACAUGAAAGCAUGAAUCCACCCUGCCUUGUAUCAACAUUUCAGGCCUGUUGGUGUAAUGAUGUGGGGGAUAUGUCCAUCACUUUAUGAUUGGAGUGAAGGGAUUAAACUGGCGGCAGGCGGCACUAAGCCCGGCCUUCCAAAGGAAGCUAGCAUUGCCACAACUCCGUAUGGCAUCCAGCACAAUAGGUAGCCCGUCACCAUGGUGACCACCAUCAGGAGGACACGGCCUUCUCUCCAGUCAGGGGGUCAAAGGUGAAGCUGCGCGCUUACCUGCCUCGCCACUGCUCGUACAGCCAGGAGGAUCUUCCCGUAGCAGAAGAACAUGAGCACCAGCGGCAGGAGGAGGCAGAAGACGAACAGACAGCUGACAUAAGAGCGAGCUGUGGCUGUGCGCUGGUGCCACUGGACUGAGCAGGUGGUGCCAGGACCCUCCAGCCCAUAGCUGCACCGCAACACAGGAUGAACAGUUGGCUGACCUGCUCCAGCCCAGCAGUGGCGGCACAGUCCACACCAGCGAGUAGAGCCAGGAGGCUGCGACGGCGAGCCAGGCCCUGCGGUACUGACAGGAGUCCGACUGCUGCUUGCAGAGAAGCACAGAGUAGCGU